CCUACGGGAGGCUGCAGUGGGGGAUAUUGCACAAUGGGGGGAACCCUGAUGCAGCGACGCCGCGUGGGUGAAGAAGCGCCUCGGCGCGUAAAGCCCUGUCAGCAGGGAAGAAAAUGACGGUACCUGAAGAAUAAGCCCCGGCUAACUACGAGCCAGCAGCCGCGGGAAUACGUAGGGGGCAAGCGUUAUCCGGAUUUACUGGGUGUAAAGGGGGCGCAGUCGGCGGUGCAAGCCAGGAGUGAAAGCCCGGGGCCCAACCCCGGGACUGCUCUUGGAACUGCGUGGCUGGAGUGCAGGAGGGGCAGGCGGAAUUCCUGGUGUAGCGGUGAAAUGCGUAGAUAUCAGGAGGAACACCGGUGGCGAAGGCGGCCUGCUGGACUGCAACUGACGUUGAGGCCCGAAAGCGUGGGGAGCAAACAGGAUUAGAUACCCGGGUAGUC
rnacentral:rRNA from 1 species